rnacentral:tRNA from 1 species
GCCGCCGUAGCUCAGCACUCUGGGAGAGCGACCGGCUGAAGACCGGUAGGUCCCGGGUUCAAAUCCCGGCGGCGGCACCA